CCUACGGGAGGCUGCAGUGGGGGAUAUUGGACAAUGGGGGGAACCCUGAUGCAGCGACGCCGCGUGGGUGAAGGAGUAUUUCGGUAUGUAAAGCUCUAUCAGCAGGGAAGAAGGAAGUGACGGUACCUGACUAAGAAGCCCCGGCUAACUACGUGCCAGCAGCCGGGGUAAUACGUGGGGCGCAAGCGUUACCCGGAAGUACUGGGGGUAGAGGGGGCGUAGACGGUCAUGCAAGCCUGGAGUGAAAGCCGGGGGCCCAACCCCCGGACUGCCCUGGAAACUGUGUGACUGGAGUGCAGGAGAGGCAGGCGGAAUUCCUGGUGUAGCGGUGAAAUGCGUAGAUAUAUGUAGGAACACCAGCGGCGAAGGCGGCUUGCUGGGUCGAUACUGACGUUGAGGCACGAAAGCGUGGGGAGCAAACAGGAUUAGAUACCCUUGUAGUC
rnacentral:rRNA from 1 species